AGGAAAUUGAAUCCUUUCUUUCUUCCCCCGCCCCCAUUGGAGGGGCACCGCCCCUCUAUGGAAAAUCCAGGGAACCUCAGCCAGGCAACUCUUCUUCCACCUCCCUAAAGCUGGCCCCAGACUUCCUGGUGUAAUUUUCUGAUUUCUCACUAUUUCUCCUACCAAAGUAUAAACAAAGGCAAAAUUCAAAUGAUGUUGUCACUGUUCCCUAAUAUAUCUGUAAUAUUGGAAUAAAUGAGUGUUUUCAAAGCAAGAAUGAUAGCAGAACUUACUUUGUGUAUUGGUUAACUGUUUAGAUCUUGGAUCCAGAAUCCUGAUCAAAGAAAUUGGAUACGAAAGAUUUUUUCCUCCAUUUAAUUGUUUCCAUUCUUAUACGAUGGCAUUAGCUUUACUUUUGCAGAUUUUUUUGCAACUUCCUCUAACCUUUCAUGUACUUUUAUUAAAGAUCUCUAUUUUAUCUUUGAUAAUUUCCUCUAUCCCUUGUUUGGUUGAAAAAUAUAUCUCCCAGGUGUAUAGAGUGCCAAAUCUGAAUCCAGGAUCUUUGUGAGUUCAAAUUUGGCCUCAGAUACUUACUAGUUAUAUGACCCUGGCCAAGUCAUUUAUCCUUGUUUGCCUCUCCUUCUGCUUCAGUAAAAUGAGCUGGAAAAGGAAACAGCAAGCCACUUCAGUGUCUUUGCCAAGAAAACCCCAAGAUGGGGCCAGAAAGAGUAGGACAUGACUGAAAAAGAUAUAGCAACAAUACCCAGACCUAUCACAGGACCUAGAAGCUUCAACAUUAAAGGACUAGAAGGCAUUGAAUAUACUCUUCUUCAAGGUAAAGGAUCUAGGAAUACAACCAAGAAUCAUCUACCCAGCCAAACAGAGCAUAAUACUCCAGGGGAAGAAAUUUAUACUUAAAGCAAUAGGACUGCUAGUCAUUCCUGAUGAUAAGAUUAGAACUGAAUAGAAAAAUUGAUGAUCAAAUUAGCAGUUCAAGUAAGCAUAAAAAGGUAAAAAAAAAGAGAAAACUAAGCUCAAUGGGUUUAAAAAAAGUACAUUCCUACAUAAAAAAGUGAUAAUCAUGAUACUUAAGAUCUCUAUGUUACAAGAGAUACUUAUGGUACUUAAGAUACUUAAAGUACUCAAGGAAUCAAUGGGGUUAAACUUACCAGAUAGGAAGGUGUAAUAAAAAGGAUAAUCUAGGAGAUAUUUCUAGUUAU
rnacentral:lncRNA from 1 species